GUGAAGCUAUCAUACGCUGGAUUAUGACUAAAUGCCUCUAAAUCAAAAUCCAGGCUAAAAGCAACGGUUGUGCCCGAUGCUUGAUUGUUGACCCACAGCAGGGGCUCAUGGUCGCCAAGGGCACAUGUCGUAGGUGUGCCCUGAUUGCAUGUGGAAUGGUGAGCACCGAUUCAUCGAUCAGCUUGAGGAAUGGAUCGACACAGGUUACGAUGGUAACCUAAGCCCAAGCUUUUGAUAUAUCUGUAGAGACAUCAUCAUCGAGAUCAUGGAAUGCAACAUGCACCAUCUCAGCAUGCCACGACACCAACGUGCUCUCGAUGUCAACCUGCGAGCUCCCCAUUCACCUCGUCUUGAAACACGGACCAAGGAGUCUGACAUGUGUACGAGUCAACGGGCUAGAAAACUCGUAAGGCACAAGGAAGCUAAUUGGUGAUAUCCCUUAUGGCUGCACCGCCAAUCAACCUUGAUCUUCUGAGAGGGGUUCGAGCGUGAGCAUGCCUAUUGGGACCUGAAAGAUGGUGAACUAUACCUAAGUAGGGUGAAGCCAGAGGAAACUUAGGUGGAGGCUCGUAGCAAUAUUGAUGUGCAAAUCAUUUGUCUGACUUGGGUAUAGGGGCAAAAGACUAAUCGAACCAUCUAGUAGCUAGUUCCUUCCAAAGUUUCCCUCAGGAUAGCUGGAGCCCUUAGUGAGUUCUAUUAGAUAAAGCCAAUGAUUAGAGGCAUUGGAGGCACAAUGCCUUCGACCUAUUCUCAAACUUUUAAUAGGUAGGAUGCCAUGACUGCUUCAUUAAGGUGCACCAUAGAAUUGAAAGCUCCAAGUGGUCCAUUUUUGGUAAACAAAAUUGGUAAUGCGAGAUGAACCAAAAGUCGAGUUAUAGUGCCCAAAUGCGUGGUAGCCUAAAACCCACAAAGGGUGUUGAUUGAUUAAGAUAGUAAGAAGGUGGUCAUGGAAGUCAAAAUCCACUAAAGAGUGUGUAACAACUCACUUGAGAAAUCAACGAGCUCAAAAAAUAGAUGGUGCUUAAGCAUGUGACCUAUACCCAGCUGUCGAGGUAAAGGCCAAGCACCGAUGAGUAGGAGGGUGCAACAAUCACCAUAAAACCGGGGGUGCAAGCUCGGGUGGAGUAACCAUUAGUACAAAUCUUAGUGGUAAUAGCAAAUAUUCAAAUGAGAACUUUGAAGGUCGAAGAGGGGAAAGGUUUUAUAUGAACGGCACUUGCACAUGGGUUAGUCAAUCCUAAGAGACAAGGGAAGCCCAUCUGACAAUGCAUCCAAUGCGAGCUUCAAAUGGGAAUUAGGUUAAAAUUCAUAAACCAAGAUACGAUGGUUGAUGGCAACAUUUGAGAGUCCAGAGACAUCAGUGAGGGCCUCAGAAAGAGUUAUCUUUUCUAUUUAACAGCCUAUCCACCUUGGAAAUAGCUUCAACCGAAGGUAGGGUCCAGUAGCCAAAAAAGUACCACACAUCACGUGGUGUCCGAUGUGCCCCCAGUGGCCCUUGAAAAUUUGAAGGACCAAGUGCCAUCCAUGGCCAGUCGUACUCAUAACAGCAUCAAGUCUCCAAGGUGAAUAGCCUCUAGUAAAUGGAACAAUGUAGGUAAAGGAAGUUGACAAAAUGGAUUCGUAACCUCGAAAAAAGGAUUACCUUGAGGGCUGGACAUAGGGGUCCCAGUCUGACCCCGUUGACUAUCGGUGCACUGCUCAAGCUACUCUUACAACGAAAAUGGGUCACUACAUGCCAGCUGAGGGAUGGACUAGUAAUGGUUCCCUUAGGGGCUUUCCCCGGGUGAUGAACAAUCAACUCAGAACUAGUACAGACAAGGGGAAUCUAACUAUUUAAUUAAAACAAAGCAUUACGAUGGUCCCUGCGGAUGCUCACGCAAUGUGAUUUCUACCCAGUGCUCUGAAUGUCAAAGUAAAGAAAUUCAACCAAGCGUGGGUAAAUAGCAGAAGUAACUAUGACUCUCUUAAGGUAGCCAAAUGCCUCAUCAUCUAAUUAGUGACAUGCAUGAAUAGAUUAAUGAGAUUCCCACUAUCCUUGUCUACUAUCCAGUGAAACCACAGCCAAGGGAGCGAGCUUGAUAGAAUCAAUGAGGAAAGAAGAUCCUGUUGAGCUUAACUUUAGUCUGACUUUAUGAAAUGACUUGAGAGGUGUAGGAUAAGUGGGAGCCCUCUAGAGAAAUUGAAAUGCUACUACUUUUAAUGUUAUUUUACUUAUUUUAUGAAUCAAAGGCGAGGCACAACCCCUUUUUUUGGAUCUAAAGCCAACCUCAAUCGAUCAAUCUGGGUAGAAAACAUUGCUAGGAGGGGAGUUUGGUUGGGGUAGCACAUCUAUUAAAAGAUAACACAUAUGUCCUAAGAUUAGCUCAACGAGAAUAGAAAUAUCAUGUGGACCAAAAGGAUAAAAGCUUGUUUGAUUUUGAUUUCUAGUACAAAUAUAAAACAUGAAAGCGUGGCCUAUCGAUUCUUUAGACCUUCAAAAUUUAAAGCUAGAGGUGUCAAAAAAGUUACCACAGGGAUAAUUGGCCAAUGGUAGCCACGUGUUCAUAAUGACAUUGCUUUUUGAUCAUUCGAUGUUGGCUCUUCCUAUCAUGGUGAAGUAGAAUUCACCAAAGGUUGGAUUGUUCACCAACCAAUAGGGAACGUGAGCUGGGUUUAGACCAUCAUGAGAUAGGUUAGUUUUACCCUACUAAUGGCAGUAUUGCAAUAGUAAUUCAACCUAGUACAAGAGGAACCAUUGAUUUGCACAAUUGGUCAUCGCGCUUGGUUGAAAAGCUAGUGGCACGAAGUGACCAUGCAUUGUGCUAUGACUAAAUGUCUCUAAGUCAAAAUCUAAGCUAGAAAUGAUGCACGUACCCAUCACCCGAUUGUUGACCAAUUGUAGGGCCCCAAGGGCAUGUGUCGUAGGUGUAGCCCUCAUGGCAGACAAGCCACGCAGGCCUUCUUGGAGCUCAAUUCCCACCUAGCGAUAGGUAAAAGCUUUUGCA
rnacentral:rRNA from 1 species